UACGUAGGGUGCGAGCGUUGUCCGGAAUUAUUGGGCGUAAAGGGCUCGUAGGCGGUUUGUCGCGUCGGGAGUGAAAUCCACUGGCUUAACUGGUGGCUUGCUUUCGAUACGGGCAGACUGGAGGUAUGCAGGGGAGAACGGAAUUCCUGGUGUAGCGGUGAAAUGCGCAGAUAUCAGGAGGAACACCGGUGGCGAAGGCGGGACUCUGGGCCGAUACUGACGCUGAGGAGCGAAAGCGUGGGGAGCAAACAGG
rnacentral:rRNA from 1 species